AGAGUUCGAUUAUGGCUCAGGAUGAACGCUGGCGGCGUGCUUAACACAUGCAAGUCGAACGAAGAUGCCGGAGUGCUUGCACUUUGGCAGACUGAGUGGCGGACGGGUGAGUAACGCGUGGGUAACCUGCCUUAUACAGGGGGAUAACAGUUGGAAACGACUGCUAAUACCGCAUGACGCAUAGAGGUCGCAUGAUCUUUAUGCCAAAGAUUUAUCGCUUCAAGAUGGCCUCGCGUCUGAUUAGCUAGUUGGCGGGGUAACGGCCCACCAAGGCGACGAUCAGUAGCCGGACUGAGAGGUUGAACGGCCACAUUGGGACUGAGAUACGGCCCAG
rnacentral:rRNA from 1 species